rnacentral:misc_RNA from 1 species
GUGAAUCAUCGAAUUUUUGAACGCAAAUUGCACUCUCCGGUUUUCCUGGAGAGUAUGCCUGUUUGAGGUUCAGCCUAAAAACAAUCGACAUUUUUGCUGUUUUAUGGUGACUUUCGUCGGAGAUGGGUUAUCUUAAAUCUCGUUUUAAGCGACUUAAAAAUUUUUUUUACGAUUCUAAGUAUGUUUCUAAGAUUUUUCUUGUACGUUUAAUUUAUCGAAUGUCUUAUUAGUCGUGCCCGUCAUCUCGUAUCGUUUCCAUAAUUUUUUUCGUUAACUGACCUCAGACAUUUAAGA